rnacentral:pre_miRNA from 3 species
UCUUAUGGAUGAGCAAAGAAACUAGUUUCUUGAGAUGGAAUCUGCUUUUGGUGACAAUACUAUGAA